UACGAAGGGGGCUAGCGUUGUUCGGAAUUACUGGGCGUAAAGAGCGCGCAGGCGGUCGUUCAAGUCGCGUGUGAAAGCCCCCGGCUCAACUGGGGAGGGUCACGCGAUACUGAUCGACUGGAAGGCAGGAGAGGGUAGUGGAAUUCCCGGUGUAGUGGUGAAAUGCGUAGAUAUCGGGAGGAACACCUGUGGCGAAAGCGGCGCACUGGACCACAACUGACGCUGAGGCGCGAAAGCUAGGGGAGCAAACAGG
rnacentral:rRNA from 1 species